GACGAACGCUGGCGGCGUGCUUAACACAUGCAAGUCGAACGGAAAGGCCCCUUUGGGGGUACUCGAGUGGCGAACGGGAGAGUAACACGUGAGUAACCUGCCCUUGACUUCGGGAUAACUUCAGGAAACUGGGGCUAAUACCGGAUAGGAAUCCUUGCUGCAUGGUGGGGGUUGGAAAGCUUCGGCGGUUUUGGAUGGACUCGCGGCUUAUCAGCUUGUUGGUGGGGCAGUGGCUUACCAAGGCUUUGACGGGUAGCCGGCCUGAGAGGGCGACCGGCCACAUUGGGACUGAGAUACGGCCCAGACUCCUACGGGAGGCAGCAGUGGGAAUAUUGCACAAUGGGCGGAAGCCUGAUGCAGCAACGCCGCGUGCGGGAGGACGGCCUUCGGGUUGUAAACCGCUUUCAGCAGGGGCGAAGCUUGUGGUGACGGUACCUGCAGAAGAAGCACCGGCUAACUACGUG
rnacentral:rRNA from 1 species